rnacentral:rRNA from 1 species
AUUGAACGCUGGCGGCAUGCCUUACACAUGCAAGUCGAACGGUAACAGGUCUUCGGAUGCUGACGAGUGGCGAACGGGUGAGUAAUACAUCGGAACGUGCCCGAGAGUGGGGGAUAACGAGGCGAAAGCUUUGCUAAUACCGCAUACGAUCUCAGGAUGAAAGCAGGGGACCGCAAGGCCUUGCGCCCACGGAGCGGCCGAUGGCAGAUUAGGUAGUUGGUGGGAUAAAAGCUUACCAAGCCGACGAUCUGUAGCUGGUCUGAGAGGACGACCAGCCACACUGGGACUGAGACACGGCCCAGACUCCUACGGGAGGCAGCAGUGGGGAAUUUUGGACAAUGGGCGCAAGCCUGAUCCAGCCAUGCCGCGUGCAGGAUGAAGGCCUUCGGGUUGUAAACUGCUUUUGUACGGAACGAAAAGACUCUGGUUAAUACCUGGGGUCCAUGACGGUACCGUAAGAAUAAGCACCGACUAACUACGUGCCAGCCGCCCGCCGUAAUAC